UUUUGGACAAUGGGCGCAAGCCUGAUCCAGCAAUGCCGCGUGAGUGAAGAAGGCCUUCGGGUUGUAAAGCUCUUUUGUCAGGGAAGAAACGGUGAGCUCUAAUACAGUUUGCUGAUGACGGUACCUGAAGAAUAAGCACCGGCUAACUACGUGCCAGCAGCCGCGGUAAUACGUAGGGUGCAAGCGUUAAUCGGAAUUACUGGGCGUAAAGCGUGCGCAGGCGGUUAUGUAAGUCAGAUGUGAAAUCCCCGGGCUCAACCUGGGAAUGGCAUUUGAGACUGCAUGGCUAGAGUGUGUCAGAGGGGGGUAGAAUUCCACGUGUAGCAGUGAAAUGCGUAGAGAUGUGGAGGAAUACCGAUGGCGAAGGCAGCCCCCUGGGAUAACACUGACGCUCAUGCACGAAA
rnacentral:rRNA from 1 species